rnacentral:precursor_RNA from 1 species
AAAAAGAAAAAAAAAACUGCAAGAAGAGAAGUCCUGCAUAUUUAUAAUUAAUAAUGCAAUUUACAUACAUUGGCAUAUAUACAAAACUUGCUUCCAAGCAAUAGAUAAAACAUGCAAUAUCAUGCAAGAAGUAGGAUCGAAAGUGAGGUGAUCAGAGGGAAAGCAGUUAAUUGGGGAAAUGAAUGAUCAUGAUCAUAUAGAAAGUGAUAUUGGCGCGGCUCAAUCCGAGAUCUUUUACGACUUUUCCUCACGUAAAAUCCGUCAUCAGAUUGAACCUCACCAACAUCGCUUUCUUUGCUUCCCAAAGCAUCCAUAACAAAAGCAUAUAAAGCAAAAGUUCUUCCACCAAGCUUGCUGGCCUGGAAAUAGAAAGGAAAAAAAACAUAAAUCGAUUAAAGAAUACCCGAUAUGGUCCCAUUUUCCACCAAAGGACAAUAAUGUGAUCAUUAAUUUUAUUUUCCCAUGGUGAAGUGGUUGGGGAUGGGGAUGGUAUAUAUGUAAUUAAUGUGGUCAGGUGGGAUCUCCAAUCAUGAUUUAUUUUCGAUCUGCAUAUAUCAAUGCUUUUUGUUGUAACUCUAUUUUUUUGGGUAUAAAAAGUUUUGUUGAAAAGGAAAAUAAGAGGGAAAAAAAAAAGGCAUAAAAAGUUCUAUAUUUCAAUACUAGUGGGGUCCCAAAACUGUAAUUUCAUUUCCAUAAAUCACGCGGGGGAUGAAUUGAAGAUGAACAACGUACGUGCAAGGGUUUUAACGCACGUACGGGUUACAUUAAGCUACUAAAACUAUAUAUGAAACAUGAAUACUCCUUAAACAAAGAAAAAAAAUAAUGAUAUAAUGAAGUGAUCUUUUCAAGAAAUAACAAAAUUAGGGUUUUGAAAAGGAAAAGCUUAUGAAGAUCAUUAAGAUGAACGAACAAAGAAAGAAUAUGAUCAUGAUAAACACGUACAACAUGUUAAACGAAACUAACUAACAACUAUAUAUUGAUAGAACAUGAGAGAGAGAGAGAGAGAGGAUGGGGAGAGGGAGUAGUGAGGAGGGAAUUGGGGGUUGAAGAGGCUGCAGAGAAUAUGUAUAUACUGGACUGGUAGGGUUGUGUGCCUCGGGAUGAGAAGGUGAAGAAGGUGAGUGGAAUGAUGUCAAGGGGGAGCAUCACUUACUUUAGGGUUUGUCAUGCUUAGUUUGUACUCAAAUAAAAUCAAACUCCACCUUCUUGCGCAUGCACCUCAAAUAUUCUCCCCCACCUGAAAACCCAAACAACUCCUUUUGAUUGUACGUCUUCCUUUUUUCUAUUCUCUUUUUUUUUUUUAACCCCCUCACCCUCCCACCUUUUUCUAUCAUGCUCUUGCUUCUCAUUAUAUUUAUAAUUAAUUACUACGUACAGAGAAUAACAUACUUGGCUUAUAUAUAUAUAUAUGUAUAGAGAUGAUUCAAAAGGCUAUAUAUAUAUAUAUCCCACCAAUUAUCAGAAUUAUUCUUUAUCUAAAAUGGGGAAUACCAAAUUACCAAUUAUAAUGAAUAUACGUAGAAGGAAAAGAUGGUCAAAAUUGUAUGCGUUUAUUGUGUUGGUGGAAAGAGAGAGAGAAUCUUGGGAACAGGAGUGCAGAAUGUCAGCGAAGGGAUUUUUUGUCUAGAAAGAAGUUUCGGAAUGGAAGGGGGGGGGGGGGGGGGGGGUACGUACAUAGUUGAUAGCUUUCAAAGGCGCGCAUAUUUUAGCAGUAAGUAACGCAAAUAGGCAAAGCGGGGACACCGGCGCUAAAGGAGCCCUGCCUUGGUCCUGCAUUAGGGAACACUCUCCUUGGGUUUUGCUUAUCCUUUUUCCCUCACCACCCUAUUCUUUCUUUCUUUUUUCAAAAAUCACCCACCCUGGCCUCUUUAACAUUUUGGGAAAUGCAAAAGACCCUUUUUAAUAAAUAAAUAAAACGACUUAAAUUAA